rnacentral:rRNA from 1 species
AUGCCGGGGAGGUGGCGGGUCUGGGGCCAGCCCGACGGUCGCCUCGUCUGGGUCCCCGCCCCCGAGCCCGACGCGCCGCCGUCGCCUGCCGCGGCUUCGCCUCUUCCUCCUCCCCUACCGCCGGGGUGCGGUGCGGGGAUAGCCGCCGCUUCAUCCGAGGACGCGCUGGCGAAAGGCCGGGGCGCUGCUGACGGAUGCCGCGUCGAGUCCAUGGCCGACCUCCUCGUGCAAGCGCGGAACACACUGCUCGAAGGUGACGGGAUGUCCGGAGCAACUGUUGAUGCAGGACAGGGUCAGCUGUUCUGCACUGGAUCGGGGAGGUCAGUGUCUGUCAGCGAGAGGGCUAUAAGGAGGGCCAGGGCGUUGGUCGGGGAGGAGGUGGAGAAGGCUGGUAACAAGAGAAAGCAACCGUUUGACGACGUACCUGGUGCAGAGGGUGAAUUGAGAGAAAUGGACGCCCCAUUCAGAGGUGGAGUGCAUAACACUGCCGUGCCCCCAGUGUUCCAAACUGGAUCCGGAAAAGCUGUUUUGCUGGGCAAGGACUCGAUCCAGAAGGCAAGAGCUAUUUUAGGAGAGCAACCGUUUGACCAUGUACCUGAUGCAGAGCGCGAAUCGAGUGAAAUGGACGCCCCAUUUAGAGGUGGAGUGUAUAACACUACCAUGCCCCCAGUGUUCCAAACUGGAUCAGGAAAAGCGGUCUUACUGGGCAAGGACUCAAUCCAGAAGGCAAGAGUUCUUUUAGAAGAUGUUGAUAGUGCUGCUGGUGCCGUACAACCAAUGUUCCGUACUGGAAUGGGUAGGCCGGUUCCUGUGAGCCGGACCUCUAUUGAUAAGGCAAGAGCUGUUUUGGAGGGACAAACAGUUGCAGAAAAAGGUGUGAACGGCAUGGAACAGUUUCCAUUGUUCCAAACUGGUUCAGGAAGAGUUGUCUCAGUCAGUGCGGCAUCUGUUCAGAAAGCUAAGUCUGUUUUGAAGGAUAAUAAUACAAGCGAGGAAAAUACAGAGAGUUUUGGUAGGCCUAACCAGCCUAUGAUGUUCCAAACUGGUUCAGGAAGACCAGCCAUGAUCAGCGAAAGAUCCAUUGAGAGAUCUAGAGCUGUGGCGAAUGAGGGAGAUGCGGAAAAGAGCGGACAUUGGGAUACUGAUUGCCAGUUCCCAAUGUUCCAAACAGGAUUAGGGAAGCCUGUUGCUGUGAGCUGGAGCUCAGUUCAGAAGGCAAAGGCAGUAUUGGAGGAAGAAAAAAUUAAAACAACUGGACGUGGAGAAAGCAGUGAUUGUGCCACAACUCUUCAGACUGAAACACCAACGUCUGUUUUGAUGAGUAGCAGUUUGAUCAUGAAUAGUAGAAGUGUUACACCGAAGGAAGAUAGUGCAAUGCAAGUCACUCGAACAGAGAAAAAUCACAAGGAUGAUGACCACGUGCCAUUGUUUCAAACUGGACUAGGGAGGUCAAUUGCUAUAAGUAAGAGCUCACUUAAGAGGGCAUCUGCAGUUCUGGAGCCAAGGAAUAUUGCAAAGGAAUUGGAAGAUGAAGCUCAUUUAGAUGGUGCCCAUGACACUCCAGUGUUCAGAACUGGAUUAGGAAGGUCUAUCAUAGCAAGUGAGAACUCUAGAAAGGAAUUGCCUAUCUUAGAGGCUGAAGAAGCAGUAAAAAGUGUAAACAAUUACAACGGGGAAACCUUUGUUGAAGAGGCAACGUUCCAAGCUGGAAUACAAAAGUUUGUACCCCAAAAUAGAAUUUCAAGCCACAAGGCCAGUAUGCUUUUGGAGCAACGAAACUUCAUGGAGAAAGGAUACAAAGACUCUGGAAGUCAACUGCCAAUGUUUCGAACCGGAUCUGGAAAGUCGGUCUUGAUUAGUGAAAACUCAGUACAGAAAGCAAGGGCUGUUCUGGAGGAACAAGGCAUAAACAAAGAUAAUCAUAAGCUCCUUAACAUGGACAAAAAAAUUCCUGUGUUUGCGUCACCUCUCAAGACAAGCUGUGCAAGAACAGUAAAUAUAUCUUCAGUUGGCGUGUCUCGAGCUGCUACUUUGUUGGGCUUGGAGGAGAAUACCCUUUCGACACAAUUUUUUGGACAUGUGGGGGAUAAGCUGGGCACAAAAAUAAAUUUUGAGCAGGAAAAUCCAGAACAGAGGCUUGGUCUUGCAUCUUAUCCAACAGAAAACCAAGUGCACAAGGAACAACACCGGCCAUUUGAGCUUUCUAAUAACACAGUUUCUGAUUCUGGUGAGCAUUCUAUCAGAUUCAGUACCGCCGGAGGCAGAUCAAUGGCUAUUUCUAGUGAUGCACUUGAACGCGCAAAAAGCCUUCUGGGUGAAUCAGAUCUCAUGGUUUCAACAAAUAAUUUAAGCUACCCUUUGGGAUCUGCUUGUAAUGAUAAGAUGCAAAAUUCAACUGUUGCGCCAAAAGAAGGCGGAUCUGAUUUAUCAAAAAGAAGAAGGGUCAGUGGAAGAACCGAACUUGCAACAUUUUCCCACCAGGCAAUGUCUGAUAGGAAGGACACUGGAUCCUUUGGAAAUGCUGUAUCUGAUAUCCAUCCGACUAGUGAAAACACCAAUAGGUUUCAUGUUGGGAGUCGUUCAACCAGUGAAAUUCCAAAGAUCGUGAAGCCUUCUUCCAGGUGUUUAUCUGAAACUGACAACACAAAUGACACUAAAGAUAAGACCCGACAACUCCAUAUGCCAGCUGGAGCGUUGGUUGACAUCAGUAACUUCAUGGGUUCAUAUUCUGGAAAUAUUGACCAUGUUGUUAAUGAGAAGAGAAGAAUUGGGGGAAGAAACUCCGCAUCUUCCUUUAAACGGCCCCGCUCUUCCAGGUUCAUCACGCCUAUAAGCACCAACAGACAGUCCUCUGCUGGAGUACCCAAACUACCACCAACUCAGAUCACUUCCUGUCGAACAAAGCUGUCUGCAUAUUAUCCUUUUCAACAUAAAAGGAAAACUUGGAAAGAGUAUUUCGGUGGUCCUCCCUGCUUCAAUUGUUUGGCGGAACAUAUAAUAGAUGAAGUGAAGCUCAUGGAUGCAAAAGGAGCUGAGAGGUACAAGUUUCACAAUAUGAAUACUGGUGCAGAAGAAUUUCAUAAGUUGCUGAUUGCCUGUGGGGCUUCAUUGACAUAUGCAACUAAAGAAUGGGUGAACAAUCACUAUAAAUGGAUCAUAUGGAAACUUGCUUCACUUGAGAGAUGCUAUCCAACUAAAGCUGCUGGCAAAUUCUUGACAGUUGCUAAUGUUUUAGACGAGCUGAAGUACAGGUAUGACAGAGAAGUGAACAAUGGCCAUCGAUCAGCCAUAAAGAAAAUUUUAGAAGGAAAUGCUUUGCCAUCUUUGAUGAUGGUGCUGUGCAUUUCAGCUAUUUAUUCCCAUCCUGAUGUACAUAAGUUAGAGGCUGUCGGGACAGAUGAAAAUGAAAACAGUAUCAAAAAUAAAAGCUUGUUAGCUGCUAAAAGAAACAUGCCUGCACACAUUGAAUUAACUGAUGGAUGGUAUGCACUAGAAGCGUCAUUAGACGUGGCACUUUCAGAACAACUACAGAAAAGAAAGCUUUUUAUAGGACAAAAGCUUCGGAUAUGGGGAGCUUCUUUGUGUGGUUGGACUGGGCCUGUGUCAUUUCAUGAGGCAUCUGGCACCGUCAAAUUGAUGGUCCAUGUGAAUGGCAGUUAUCGUGCAAGAUGGGAUGAUCCUUUGGGAUUCUGCAAGCAUGUUGGACCCCCACUGGCGUUCAAGUGCAUAAAAGCUUCUGGUGGCCGAGUCCCUAGGACACUGGUAGGAGUUGCAAGAAUAUAUCCUGUUUUGUACAAGGAGAGGUUGCCUGAUGGUAGUUCUAUUGUGAGAUCUGAAAGGAUGGAAAGAAAGGCGCUACAACUGUAUCACCAGAGAGUAUCUAAGAUCGCAGAAGACAUUAUGUCUGAACAAGAUGAAAACUGUGCCAGCACUGAUGACAGUGAGGAAGGGGCGAAAAUUUGCAAAAUGUUAGAGCAGGCGGCUGAGCCUGAAGUUAUGAUGGCUGGCUUGACCUCAGAGCAGAUGAUAUCUUUCUCAUCUUAUCAAGCAAAGCAAAAGGAAGCUAGGCAAAACGAAGUAGCUAAGAAGGUCGAAAAUGCUCUGGAAGUUGCUGGCCUUAGUUCAAGAGAUGUUACGCCAUUUUUGAAAGUGAGGGUGACGGGCCUUGCUCACAAAAUCUCUGCUACAAAAACCAUCAACAAGGAAGGGCUAAUAACAAUUUGGAACCCUACUGAGAAGCAGAAAGCCGACCUGGUGGAGGGACAAGUCUACAUCGCCACAGGAUUGCUGCCUUCUGCCCACUGUACGAACAUUCUUUACUUGCAUGCUAGAGGAUCAUCUACAAUGUGGAAGCCAUUAGCAUCGGCACAGGCUGCAGAUUUUCAACCAUUUUUUACCCCACGUAAGGCGGUUGAGCUGUCAUUGAUUGGUGAGGUACCACUUGCAAGUGAAUUUGACAUUGCAGGUGUUGUUUUGCAUGUCGGCGAUGUUUACUUAUGCAGCAACCAGAAAAGGCAGUGGCUCUUUUUGACAGAUGGAUCUAAAUUUAUCUCGGCAUCGCAGUCCACAGAUCAAGAUGAUUGUCUUCUAGCAGUUAGCUUUUCUUGCUCAUCUGCCAGCGAUGAUGGUGCCUUUUUCAGUUAUGCCCUUUCUGGAAAUACAGUUGGUUUCAGUAACUUGGUCAAGCGACAGAAGGACCAGACAAGGCGCAUAUGGGUAGCCGAGGCAACACAGAGCUCUACAUACACUCUUUCCCAUGAGAUAUCAAAAAAAUCGCAUCUUAAGGAAGCUGCAACAUGUGCUGAGAAAUGGGCUUCAAGUUCUUUUGAUAAAAUCCAGCAGCUAAAGGAAAGAGUUUUAUGCAUAAUUGGUGAUAGCGGUGGCUGA